UACGAAGGGUGCUAGCGUUAUUCGGAAUCAUUGGGCGUAAAGGGCGCGUAGGCGGCCUGUUAAGUUUGCUGUUAAAUCUUUCGGCCUAACCGAAAAACUGCAGCAAAAACUGAUAGGCUAGAGUGUAAGAGAGAGAAGUGGAAUUCUCGGAGUAGCGGUAAAAUGCGUAGAUCUCGAGAGGAACACCGAUGGCGAAGGCAGCUUCUUGGCUUACUACUGACGCUGAGGCGCGAAAGCGUGGGGAGCAAACAGGAUUAGAUACCCUGGUAGUCCACGCUGUAAACGAUGAUCACUAGAUGUUAGUUCUGCUUAGCAGGAUUAGUGUCGUAGCUAACGCGUUAAGUGAUCCGCCUGGGAAGUACGGUCGCAAGGCUA
rnacentral:rRNA from 1 species